CAUCCAGCCGUUGAAACUGGCGUUCUUGAGUGGGCGAGAAGUAUGCGGAAUGCGUGGUGUAGCGGUGAAAUGCAUAGAUAUCACGCAGAACUCCGAUUGCGAAGGCAGCAUACCGGCGCCCUACUGACGCUGAGGCACGAAAGCGUGGGUAUCGAACAGGAUUAGAUACCCUGGUAGUCCACGCAGUAAACGAUGAAUGCUAACUGUCCGGUGCGAGUGAGCGCUGGGCGGUACAGCGAAAGCGUUAAGCAUUCCACCUGGGGAGUACGCCGGCAACGGUGAAACUCAAAGGAAUUGACGGGGGCCCGCACAAGCGGAGGAACAUGUGGUUUAAUUCGAUGAUACGCGAGGAACCUUACCCGGGCUCAAACGCAGGCUGACGGGUCCCGAAAGGGGCCUUUCUUCGGACAUUCUGCGAGGUGCUGCAUGGUUGUCGUCAGCUCGUGCCGUGAGGUGUCGGCUUAAGUGCCAUAACGAGCGCAACCCCUGUCCACAGUUGCCAGCAGGUAAAGCUGGGGACUCUGUGGAGACUGCCGGCGCAAGCUGCGAGGAAGGCGGGGAUGACGUCAAAUCAGCACGGCCCUUACGUCCGGGGCGACACACGUGUUACAAUGGCAGGUACAGCGGGAUGCCACGGGGCGACCCGGCGCUGAACCCGAAAACCUGUCUCAGUUCGGAUUGGAGUCUGCAACCCGACUCCAUGAAGCUGGAUUCGCUAGUAAUCGCGCAUCAGCCACGGCGCGGUGAAUACGUUCCCGGGCCUUGUACACACCGCCCGUCAAGCCAUGGAAGCCGGGGGUACCUGAAGUGCGUGACCGCGAGGAGCGCCCUAGGGUAAAACCGGUGACUGGGGCUAAGUCGUAACAAGGUAACCGUAA
rnacentral:rRNA from 1 species